rnacentral:tRNA from 1 species
ACAUGUCGUCUUUUUUCUGUGUUGUAAACAGGAACUGUUACGCCUCCUUAGCUCAGCUGGUAGAGCAGCUCAUUCGUAAUGAGCAGGUCGCCGGUUCGAAUCCGGCAGUAGGCUCUAUGUACUGAAAGAUAAAAAUCACGCAAUUUGGAAAUACUUUCCAUUUGUAAGAUUUUUAUCACACUUAUUUAGUUUUUAUUAUACUAUGCUUGAAGCAAAAAAUAUAACCAAAUCUUACGGUAGUUUACAAGUAUUAAAAGGAAUAGAUGUUUUUAUAAAAAAAAAGGAAAUAGUAUCAGUGGUUGGAGCUUCCGGCGCAGGUAAAAGUACCUUACUUCAUAUUAUUGGCACCUUAGAUAAACCUGAUACAGGGCAGGUGC